AAUAUUUAUAAUGUUAAGAAUAAAAUUAGCUCUAUAAAUUAUAAAGUUGUAAAUACAUAUAUUACAAGCGAAGGAGGGAGAUAUGGCUAAAUUUGUCAAUUUUGUUUAUAGUAUGAUUAUCUUUCUAUCCCUAUUGGUGGUUGCAAUGAAUGCUAAACGAAAUUAUCAAUGUGAUCCAUGUUUUGGUCAUCCUGAUGAUAUGAUAAAUUUUUGCCCCCCUGGUACGGCACCGAAGUGUUUCCAUGGACUGAUUAAAUGUGUUCCGAUAAUGCGGGGAACAAAUCGUAUGUUUGCAUGAUUCUUCAUUUAUUUCCAAGCACAAGAUAGUACACAAAUGCUCUGCUACGAUAUUCCAUUAGCUGUCAUUUAGUUAUUUUCUCACAACCCAAUAUUUUUUUUUUCUUUUUAUAAUAUCAGUAAGUUUUUAGUUAUAUAUUUGAACUAUAAAAUAAUGAUAAUGAAAUGAAAUAAGACAGCAACAAAUAUUAUUUAAAUUA